AUAGAAAUGUCUAAUUACAAAAGUUUAUAACAAUAUUAUAAUAUGUAGUUCUCAUUACAGCUUCUAAUUGUAACAGAAUAUUCUCACGAGUACACCUGUCUUUCAACUACGUUCCUUAUCAUACAGUAAAAUAUAAUCUGUGAGUUUCAUGAAUAUCUCUCUCCCUGUAGGCCCCUCAGCCCCAGAGGACCAACCUGGACACCCAACAGGACCAGCGAUCUACCCAGGGCCAGGCUCCUGAUGCUGGGUAUACACAUCUGCAGCAAGGUGGCGCUAACAUCUAUGAUACAAUCACUCCCUCAGACAAUAAUGACAGUGAAACAUCCACCCCACCUGAGGCAGAUUCAGUCUAUUCUCAAGUUAAGCCAGGCACAGCCCCAGGUUGCAGGUCCUUGAGGGGGGAAGGGAUGGAGUGAUGGGGAGGGAUGGAGAUAUAGAAGGAUGGAAGGAUAAAAGGAUGGAGGAAUGGAAAUAUGGAGGGUUGGAGGGAUGCGGCUAUGGAACCCUGACCUGUUCACCG